rnacentral:rRNA from 1 species
ACGCACGCUGGCGGCGUGCUUAACACCUGCAAGUCGAACGGAAAGGCCCUGCUUUUGUGGGGUGCUCGCGUGGCGAACGGGUGAGUAACACGUGAGUAACCUGCCCUUGACUUUGGGAUAACUUCAGGAAACUGGGGCUAAUACCGGCUAGGAGCUCCUGCUGCAUGGUGGGGGUUGGAAAGUUUCGGCGGUUGGGGAUGGACUCGCGGCUUAUCAGCUUGUUGGUGGGGUAGUGGCUUACCAAGGCUUUGACGGGUAGCCGGCCUGAGAGGGUGACCGGCCACAUUGGGACUGAGAUACGGCCCAGACUCCUACGGGAGGCAGCAGUGGGGAAUAUUGCACAAUGGGCGGAAGCCUGAUGCAGCAACGCCGCGUGCGGGAUGACGGCCUUCGGGUUGUAAACCGCUUUCGCCUGUGACGAAGCGUGAGUGACGGUAAUGGGUAAAGAAGCACCGGCUAACUACGUG